CAUACUGAUGAUUCAAUCUCCGAAAGAAUUCGAAAUGGCAGUCACGCUUCUGAACGCACAAAGUCCUUAUCUUCCUUUUAAAGCAAAGAAGUCACUGCACCGGCAGGAAAAUAGAAGGAAUGCUGGAGGGCUUUACAGCAAUGCAUAUCAAUGAAAGGCUCCUCUUGGCUAACCAUACUAGAAUGAAACAUAUUCCUAGUGGUUCUGCCAAAGAUCCUUGAAACGCUUUGAUGGUGAUGACGGUUGAUAGGGGAGAAAAUAAUCAUAACUAUGAAGCAGAUGAAAGUUUUUGCUGUCUUGCUCUUGUAGCAUUAUCUACGCCUUUGCAACGGACUUGGACUACCAGAGGAAGACAAAUCUUUGCCGGAGAUACAGCAGCCAGGCCAAGGGAAGUCAGCAGUCCACAGUGUGCCAGCUGUCUCACUUUAUUUUUUGCCCAUAACUAAAUUAUUAUUUUUUUUAAUAUGGCUUUAAUACCGGCUGGCAAAAUUAGUCAAUGUUAGUCUGAAAGGAAAUGUUGUCAAUUGGUUUGGAAAAGGAAGCUCUCAAACAAAGCCAGUCUGUUUCAUUAAAGAGAAGGAAAGAAACUCCAGGCUCUAUCAUACACCAUCAAGGCAAUUUAGAUUUUUGCCACUGAUGAUAAAGGAAAAAUGAAUCUGAAGUAAAGAAGGAAAAGUCCAACUAGGUCAACAAAGUCCCUGGUGGGCAGCAACAGGGUAUCUAAGAGCUAGUAUGCAGAGCAGACAUGGAAAUGCUUGAAAGGAUUCAAUUUUAUGGCACACUGAAAGAUUGCUCUGCUUCUGUUUCUAUAUAAGGUAGGUAAUAAACUGUAUUUGAACUGGUAAAAGAGGAAUGAGAUGACCCACAUUUCAAAGCUGGAACCUGGUAGGUUAUUAUUAUUUAUGAUUCAUAAAGCUUGUGCAGUGCACCAAAAGAAAGGAAGGCGAGUUCCUUGCCCAGAGGAGCCUCCAAUGCAAACCUUGAGAGAAACACUCUACUGUGCAUGGGGUCAGCUCCAAGGGCUUUUUAAAAUUCUAAUUAUAGUGUAAUGAAGAUCAGGCCUGCUCUUUCCAUCAGAAAACUGGGAUUCCUUUUCCUGUCUCUGCAGUAGGUGGUUUUAAUGUUACAGGAAUGCAACAGCUGAAUAUUCUGUGAACUGAAAUAAGAACCUUCAGGUACCCCUUACUUUCCACUCUUACUUGAUGCUUUAAGUUCCUUUUCUCCUCUUGCACAUUUCUACAUUUUCUCACUUUCUGCUCCACAGAUCUUUUGCUACCAUUUUUUCUUUUCCUUUAUUAAUUUCUCAGUUUUUCAGUAUUAGUUUUUUCUUUUUCAUGAGCUCUCUUUGGAGUCUCACAUUCACAUUUUAUGUCUUACCAUUCAAUCAUUCCCUUUUUUGAGCUGUUCUUUCUCUUUGCCUCACUCUGCUCAUCCCUUUUCUGUCUCUCCUCCUUCCAUUCCCCCUGGCCAACCUUUUUCUUUCACCAACUCCAUUCUCUCAACCAACGACAUACCCCAGCAGUAUCCCCCAAACCAGCAGCUUUCCCUUUGCUCUUUCUUCAGGAACUGAGUUCUGUGUCCAUCCUUCCUACCGGCUCCUCUUCCUGACCUGCACUCCGCCUUUGCAUCACCCCUCCAUCCCUAGGACAUGGCUCGCAGGUUCCCAUCCAUGAUCCCUGAAAGUCUUCAAAGGUCCCUGUGCUCCCUAAAGGUCUGCCAGCCCUCAUUGCUCUUUGGCUCAUACGUCCCUCCUGGCCGUAAGACUCUUAACUCCAGGACUACCAUGCAGCUGGAUUGGUAAAUAGAGGUGAGGACAGAUGGUUGGAACGCGGGGCUGCGUUCCUCACACCGGGAGAACAAAUCUGCCGAGGACCUUCCUUCCCUCCUGCCAAGGGUCCUACACGCCAGCUUUUCUGUUCCUGCUGUAUCCUUUUGAGGGAGACCGAAACUCGACCCAGCAGUCAAGAUGAGAUACUCCAUGGAUUUACCAAUGAUACUCCAAUACCUGCAGUCACAUACUCUACAGCUUCCUGAACACAGUUUAACAACUCCUUUGUGAGGCACGAAACGAAGUGUGUCCAUACCAACACGUUAAAUAAAAUGUCGUGUGUCACAACUGGAUGCUGCUUGUAUGUAGCAACCUUUUAGAGUGUUUUUGGUUUUUUCUGCAAUAAUUUUAAGAUUCCCCAAUCAUGACAUACCAACAAUGUGUGAUAGAGCUACUCCUCUGUCAGAGCACAAAAGUCUAACUGGCAUUAAUUAACAGGACUUAAUGCAAGGAGAUUCAGGAGAGAACACAUCGUAAUGAAGAGUAUGAAAGAUGUAAAAAAUAUUUAUAUCACCAAAAUUCACAAGAUGCUGAGCACAGUGACCUCAGCACCCUUUACUCCUUCUGAUUAUUUCUGUGGCUAUGAAAAUACUGUGCAGAUUUACCAGGUUCCAAACUGAGAGGCGUCAGCAGACAAGGUGCAAAUACUCAAUAUUUCUUAAGGUCUGGUCAAAUUAAAAUGAGUGUACUUUGCAAACAAGACUGAGCAGCCAUCAAUGCUCCACAAACAUUCCAAAGUGUUCUUUAAUUAUAUCAAUAGUAGCUAUUGAAAAUCAGUUCUGACAGACUUUUCAGGAAACCGUGGGAAAACACCACCCUACUUCUGCUGGCUAGAAAGUUCUUUAUAUUUAAGAGGCAAGCUUUCUCAGGGGGUCAGACUCACACUAUUUGCACGGCUCUUGUUGGUUGAUCUACAGCCUGAUGAAGCUCCAGGGUGUUUUGCACUUCCUAUGCCUCUUCUGUGCAACUUUUGGGAUGAACCUUAUACAAAAAUCAUUAGGCUACUUUCAAAGUGAUUCUUCUGAAAAAAAAUAAUCAUGUACUUGAUGCUAAGACCA